rnacentral:rRNA from 1 species
GCUUACGGCCACACGGCCUGAGUAGACUGAUCUCGUCCGAUUCGGAAGCUAAGCAGGGUCGGGCCUGGUUAGUACUUGGAUGGGAGACCGCCUGGGAAUACCAGGUGCUGUAAGCU